GUAAAAGUAACCACACAAAUGCAUCAUGGAGGUUUCUGGCUCAGUGGUCAUUGUAAAAGGGGAAGAUAUUGAAGGGUGCUGGCCUGAGGUAAGAAGCUACAGAAGAAUUGAAAUUCCUAAGUCCAGCUGCGAAGCCUGAGUUCAGAAAACAAGAUUGAAGCACCAAGAUGUUCAGCCAAUCUCAGAACAAACCCAAAUCACCAGAGAAACCAUGAAUGUGGAUUCCAAAACCCUCUUCCUCUGAAGAGCCUCAACACUGAUGAUGGAAAAGAUUGUCUGGUUGCCAAGAAAGAUUUCCUACGGGCUGACUUGAAAGUGACUCGGAACUCUUUGCAUGCCCGGCUUCAAAUGAUCCCAGAACAGCAAACAUUCAGCUUGCCUCCAGACUUCUGAAGUGUGGCAAUAACAUGAAAGACGGAAUAGGAAUCAUUCUGCGGGCUGCUGAGAGAGAGCCGGCUGGCAGGGACCGAGCUCCAC
rnacentral:lncRNA from 1 species